rnacentral:tRNA from 1 species
UGGGGGAUCGUCUAGCGGCAGGACAACGGCCUUUGGCGCCGUUUACCGUGGUUCGAAUCCACGUCCCCCAGC